UUUAGAAGCAGUAAAAGACAGUAAAUAUUUAGGCGUAACUAUAAGCCAUGAUCUUGAUUGGGGAACACAUAUAAACAAUAUUACUUGUAAGGCAAAUAAAACCUUAGGUUUUCUUCGUAGGAACUUGAAAAACUGCACACGUAAGGUUAAAAACCUUACGUACACAUCACUUGUCCGUCCAGUCGUCGAAUACUCUUCCCCUGUCUGGGAUCCGUACAAAAAAACAACACAUCACUCAGGUUGAGCAGGUACAGCGUAAGGCAGCCAGGUUUGUCUUCAAUGAUUAUAAAGACAGAUCACCUGGAGCAGUUUCAAAUUUAAUUAAAUCAUUGGAAUGGGAAAAUUUAGAAAUAAGAAGGAAAAAAGCUAGAUUAACUAUGCUGUAUAAAAUAAAUUGGGGUUAGUUGAAGUUCCUAAGGACAAUUUAACAAUAUCUGAUAGACGUACUAGGGGGAAACAUAAAUUUAGGCAAAUAUCAACAAAUAAAGAUUUCUAUAAAUUUUCAUUCUAUCCUCGCACUAUUUCGGACUGGAACUCACUACCUGAAGCAAUAGGUAUGUCUGACACCCUGGAAUCCUUCAAAAGUGGCAUAUCCACUCUAACAUUUGAAGGAUCCACAACAACUUAUUAAACUACAAAGCCACUGUACAUAAUGU
rnacentral:lncRNA from 1 species